rnacentral:rRNA from 1 species
AUUGAACGCUGGCGGCAGGCCUAACACAUGCAAGUCGAACGGAAACACGGUGCUGCUUUCUGCUUCGCGGACGGGUGGCGGGCGAGUAAGAAGUGUCUAGGAAACUCUCGGAUGGAGGGGGAUAACAAGUGAAAACGGUAGCUAAUACCGCAUAACGUCUCAAGCACAAAGAGGGUGGGCUUGUGGCCGCUUGCCGUCGGGUGUGCGCAGGUGGUAUGAGCUAGGGGGUGGGGUAACGGCUCACCUAGUCGACGAUCCCUAGCGGGUGUGAGAGGAUGACCAGCCACACUGGAACUGAGACACGGUCCAGACGCCUACGGGAGGCAGCAGUGGGGAAUAGUGCACAAAGGGGGCAAGCCUGAUGCAGCCAUGCCGCGUGUAUGAAGAAGGCGUUCGGGUUGUAAAGUCCGUUCAGCGGGGAGGAAGGGAGUAAAGUUAAUACCUAGCCUCAUUGACGUUACCCGCAGAAGAAGCACCGGCUAACUCCGUG